AAAGUCGUAACAAGGUUUCCGUAGGUGAACCUGCGGAAGGAUCAUUACCGAGUGAGGGCCCUCUGGGUCCGACCUCCCACCCGUGUUUAUUAUACCUUGUUGCUUUGGCGGGCCCGCCUCACGGCCGCCGGGGGGCUUCUGCCCCCGGGCCCGUGCCCGCCGAAGACACCUUAGAACUCUGUCUGAAGAUUGUAGUCUGAGUAAAAAUAUAAAUUAUUUAAAACUUUCAACAACGGAUCUCUUGGUUCCG
rnacentral:misc_RNA from 1 species